GCAUAUCAAUAAGCGGAGGAAAAGAAACCAACAGGGAUUGCCCUAGUAACGGCGAGUGAAGCGGCAACAGCUCAAAUUUGAAAUCUGGCUUUCGGGUCCGAGUUGUAAUUUGUAGAGGAUGCUUUUGGCGCGGUGCCUUCCGAGUUCCCUGGAACGGGACGCCUUAGAGGGUGAGAGCCCCGUACGGUUGGACACCAAGCCUCUGUAAAGCUCCUUCGACGAGUCGAGUAGUUUGGGAAUGCUGCUCUAAAUGGGAGGUAAAUUUCUUCUAAAGCUAAAUAUUGGCCAGAGACCGAUAGCGCACAAGUAGAGUGAUCGAAAGAUGAAAAGCACUUUGAAAAGAGGGUUAAAUAGCACGUGAAAUUGUUGAAAGGGAAGCGUUUGCGACCAGACCUUUUCUUAGCAGAUCAUCCGGUGUUCUCACCGGUGCACUUUGCUAGGUUUAGGCCAGCAUCGGUUUUCGUAGGGGGAUAAAAGCUUGGGGAAUGUAGCUCCCUCGGGAGUGUUAUAGCCCCUCGCAUAAUACCCUUACGGGGACCGAGGACCGCGCUUUAUGCAAGGAUGCUGGCAUAAUGGUUGUCAACGACCCGUCUUGAAACACGGACCAAGGAGUCGAACAUUUGUGCGAGUGUUAGGGUGUUAAACCCUCACGCGUAAUGAAAGUGAACGGAGGUGAGAGCCCUUACGGGUGCAUCAUCGACCGAUCCUGAUGUCUUCGGAUGGAUUUGAGUAAGAGCAUAACUGUUCGGACCCGAAAGAUGGUGAACUAUGCGUGGAUAGGGUGAAGCCAGAGGAAACUCUGGUGGAGGCUCGCAGCGGUUCUGACGUGCAAAUCGAUCGUCAAAUCUGCGCAUGGGGGCGAAAGACUUAUCGAACCAUCUAGUAGCUGGUUACCGCCAA
rnacentral:rRNA from 1 species